rnacentral:tRNA from 1 species
GUAGGCAUAGUUUAAUCAAAACAUUAGAUUGUGAUUCUGAAAAUAAAGGUUUAAGCCCUGUUGUCCACC